AUAUGGAAGUUCCCAGGCCAGGGAUCAAAUUCGAGCUGCACCUGCAACCUAAGCUACAGCUGCAGCUACGCUAGACCCACUGUGCUGGGCUGGGGACUGCACCUGCAGCAACCUGAGCUGCUGCAGUCCUAACCAACUGCAUCACAGUAGGAACCCCACUGUAUCCAUUUUCAAAGGUAGCAGCACUACUGUUUUUCCAUUUUAAGACAAGAGAUGGGAAUGAUGCUAAACAAAAGUGAUCUAACCUCAAGCAAACAGGUGUAAAAUAUUGCCUUCUGUGUAUCACAACCCACUGGAGAAUCAAAUAUUUUAAAACAAUGACAUUGAGAAUAAUCCCUGUGAUUAGUGACAACACAUAAAGUGCAAACUGCUUGGAGGUAUGGGACUCAAUAAGGAUCACAUUCAAGCUGAGGAAAGGGAAAGUCCCCUGAGCAGUGUCCCUCAGCUCAGAUCCGAAAAUGGAUUAGAAAAUAACGGGUAAACCGGGAUAAGAACGCUCUAAGCAGAAAGCAGCAUGGGGGAGGGGGCUGGACGUGGGAUGGAGGAUGGAAGCUUCCACGGACGUGGCUGACACGAAGAGGGUGACGGUCCUAAGCGGAGGUGGAGAGGAAGAAGGGGUCGAGACAAGAGCAUCCUGGUGGCCACAGCAAGGGUGUGGGUGUUCACCCAGGAGCCUCGGGAAGCUACCCAGCAGUUCUAGGCAAGGGGGCGAGGUGACGUCAGUGAUGGUGACAAGAUGUAAAUUCAGGAACUGUGUGGACCUGAGUGAGGCAACAGGGGACCAAGAGAAUCAGAAAGAAGACUGCGUACCAGUUUGAGAAAGAGCGCCUAGGAGCGAAGCUAUGUAAAGUGAAGGUGAACAGAGUGGAUAGACAUGAGAUACUGUCAAGACCUACCAUUUAACAGGACGUGUGGGUGUUUUAGAACAGCAGAUAAAAGUUUGGGAGGAAAAAUAUGAUAUUAAAUUUUCGGAUUAUUAAAGAACAUUAGUGCCAUUAACUCCCCAAAUAUUAUCUACUAUGUAUCAAAUCCAUGCAUCAGAAAAAAAAUUACCAUUUAAAAAAAUAUUCUGGAAACUUGGAGAUGAUUCCAAAUCCAAAUGAUGAAAUGGUGACCUAUGAAAAUGACCUUUGGAAAUAUUCUGUACUGUAGGCUUUUAAGGGAAGGCAAUAACAUAUUCAUUAAAUAGACAUAUAGAAAUAAAUGUCAGUAUGUGUAUUUUUUGUCUAAUUCUUAAUAAUUAUAGUAAAAGCUAGGACUACUUCAGUAUGUGCUCAAAGUUUAGGAAGUACAAGACAAUGGAAAUAAAACGGAAGUCGUUGACCGAAAAAAAAUCACAGCACACACAGGUCUUUGCAACCCUAUUUGGGAGAGAACUGGAUAGAUUACGGUCUCUACUGAGUGGCUUUUACUGGCGGUUUUCCAAAAAAGAAAAAAAAAAUAGGAGCCAGUCGUAAAUCGACAGCCAAAUGAAAUACUCAAGAAAUCCAUAACUUAUGAUAAGAAACAACGGGCUGGAGGUGGAGCAUUGGAUACAGGCACAGAUGCAAAGAUAGAAGAAAGACCUGGAUUCCUCUCUGAGCAAAGAGCUGAGUUACACUGGAAGGGAUUUUUCCACUAGGGCUUAAACAAGUUAUCACAGGGUUGGCUCACAGCCUACGGAUGCCUGGUCACGGGUUUCUGAGGAAGACCACAUGGAACUGGAAACGGUCAUGUAAAAUCCUUACUUCAUGUGCACCGGGAGAUAAGCCACCUUAGUUCUCAAAACAAGUACAACAAUCCAUCUCCAAGGAAGAAGCAUUGCAUCAGUGUGUGCAUGUGUGUGGGGGGGUCUUGUGUGUUUGUGUGUGUGUGUGUGUGUGUGUGUGUGUGUGUGCAUCUUGUGUGUGUGCACCUGUGAGCAUACACGGUGGCGGGUACAGGUGCUGAUGCACAUAUGCUUGUGAGCGAACAUAAUUGGGGGAUCAUUAUUCUCUGUAAGUAAAUUCUAAUUUUGAACCUCUUAUGGCCCUUGUGAUAAAGUUAAUGACAAUAAAUCAGUCUUUUAAGGUUACUUUUAAAUCAGUGUGUCGGGAUGACCCUUUGAAUACCCUCUGGCCUGAGUUCCGAGACUCUCCCUGACCAUGUUUCGCGUAUUAAAUUUUCCAAAGAAGUCACGAGUCACGUACAGAUAGAGAAGUUAAAAAGAGCCUCUGUACGUUGUCGAAGCAUUCACCGCAGGAUGUCCAUCCAGAUGCUAUGAAAACACCUUGCCGCACCUCUUCCCACGGUGAACCUUCUAUUGUGCAAACUAGACUCUUGACAGAGAAAACACGACAUGCUUCCUGGAGGAAGAAUCCUUCCUGCUCCAUGAUUUACAUCAACCUUCCCCUCGUCCUCAUGCCAGGAAAGAAAUGUCAAGACUAUGAAGAGAGAAGAAAAUAGAAGCCCCCCCACCCCCGGUCAAAAACACAAAACAUUGACACUGUGCAGGUCCCGCAAGGCCAGAGCGGAAUGGAUGAUUUCUCUGCAACAAAUAUUUGCUCAUCCCGUCUGUACAAGGAGCUAAUGGGACAACAGAACAUGACGGCAGGAAAUGGGGUAUCACCCCUGCAGUGCUUAAAACACUGGGGUUGGGAGGCGUUUUCUGCAUGGCUGAUCAGGAAAGGUUUUCAGACCUAUCUACUUGGGGAACUGGGUGUUUCCUUCACUGGUUUCAUAAAGGGAAAAUGUACCGCAGAGUGAAAUGUUUGAGCCAUUGACCCGAACACAUACGAAAACCCUAAAGUCUGAUGAUCCCCCACAGGUGCCCUCUGUCCCGCAUCAUGUGCCCAUAGGUCUACAGUCCACCUAAAGACCUCAGCGAAAAUGACGACCCAGAUGCGUCCCAUUUGACAUGUUAACUUUGGUGCUGAGGUCCACCCAGAGGAACUGCCUUCCGGAACGGCUGCUUACAGACACGGAAUGCCCCAAGCUGAACGCGUUCAGGUCAUUCUUUCUCAGAAUCUAGUGUGUGAAACAAGGCUUAGUGGAAAAGAGCCACUCAACCAAGAGCUGUCCAUCGACGAAUUAGGUAACGAUCCCCCGUGCUCCUUCCCUGAGUCCGUGAAACGCCCCCCACUUGGCUAAAAUCAGACAUGCAGGUGCCACGCUUCCCUUAAUCCACCACCUGAGUCAAAUGCCAGGCUCCAGUCUUUCUAAGUCCUGACCCUCUCCGCAUUAACUGCCAUCCAGCCCUACGGACAAUACCCAGUCACAGCCACACCAGCACAAUGUCUCAGUAGAUGACUGUCUGCUCUUUUUCUCCCUUUUCCCACCUCUUUUCCAAUGGACUCUUCAUGCUGUAGCAACGUGAGCUGUAAACAAUGACCCAUCCACCGCAAGCCUGGCCCUAUCGUUUCCUUCAUACUCAUACCAAUACGAUAAAGUCUAAACUUCUGACCCGAUUUGUAAGACCCUAUGUGAUCCGAACCUGCUGACACAGAUUCAUUUGAGGUCAAGCUCUGUUCCAUGUCCUGUUCUAAUGAUACUAUACCUCAGUCAUCCACACACAUUUAAUACAAAAUGACGUUUUCAAAAGUCGUCAUGUUUUCUCUUGUCCCAUGACCAGGGCAGAUGCUUUUGUUUGUUUGUCUUUUAUUUUUUAUUUUUCCUCUGCAUGAAAGGAGUGCUGGGCCCAAAACUAAUACAUUCCUUACUCUUGGCAUUAUUCAAUUCUCGGCAUAAAUAGCACUUUUUCUCAAGGUUUCUGGAUGCCAGCUAUAUCGUCUAUGCUCCUCCCCCAGCACACUGACUUUCACGCAGUGAUGAGUGUGAUAUGUAAAUUUAAGGGGAGAUUUCCAGCCUCGCCCCAGCUAGAUCUUUAAGUUCUGCUAAUGAAAAGAACAAGUCCAUCACCCUGAACUUGCCACAAAUGAAAAAGAAUCAGACGAUGAAGGACUUUUAAGACAUAGUAUAAGAUGUCCUUUAUGCACAGAGCCAUUGAGGAUUCUGUAGAUCAGAACAGAUUUCCCCAAAGAAACAAGAAAGACACAAAGGCAAUUGGGAUUCACUAAUUCCAGGAUUAGCAAAGGCACAUAUGACUCCUGAGAGUAAAACUACUACCUUGACCUUGAGACAGACAAUGGGAACCCAUUCAUCAGUUUCCUAAGUCCCGAUGACAGGACCACAAGCCACAUCCCCACACUUGUGUGGUGACCCUGCACAGGGGAAGCCUGGCCUCCUCGCACCUGUGUUAACAUUUGAAUUUCCAUUUUCUCAUUAGACCCCUAGGGAACUGCAGACUUGCAGGCACUGUUUGAGGAGCCCAGCUUCUCCCAGAAUAAGAAGGAAGGGAAGGCAAAUCAAAGACUCUCCCCAGGGGCUGGAAAGGGAAAGCCCUGGGGAGGUGAUUUCUACAGACAAAGUCUCUCCCACCUCGUGUCUUCCUCGGUGCUGGAGGUGGGAGAACCUGGACUCAGCCUUCAAAGGACUGCCGCAGCACGACUGCGGUGUGGACGAGCACCAGGCACAGAAGGAGGGAGGACACGACUCCUCUCCCUGCUGAGGCUAGAUGCAGUCAAAGGAAGCUAGAGAGAUUGUUCUCGAGGUCUGCGUAGAGGGGCUUAUCCUACGCCCCCAGAAUGGUCACCUCUGAGACCAAGACUUCAUCAGGACAAGCAUGUUCAGGCAGGUGGGGAGGUUCCAGUGGGGAACCACGGGCAGGCUUCAGGAAAACUGGGAAUGCAUUUAGUCUAAAGGGGGUAUGUCUGUUCUGGUCCAUUUUCAGCAUAGAAGGUUUAUGGCUUUUGUUAGAAUUCCAUAAACCACUGACACUCAAUUUCCAAGCAAAACAAGGAACCAUUUCCUUACAAGAACUGUGCCUCUAUCAGAAUUGUGUAAUAUAAAAGUAAAAUAAAGAUUGCAUGUAUCAACAAUGCAUAGCCAAACAAACAGAUAAUCCAGUGAAGCAAUAUUAUUAUCCAUUUGUAUACGUCUAUCUUAUUUUUGUUACCUUCACAGCUUCAAACACCUUUCAGCCUAUAUAUAAGAAUGAGUACUGGCAUUCUGUAAUUUUUUGUUUUAAAUUGAGAAC
ensembl:lncRNA